CAGAGACAGAGGCACAAUGUUUUCAUCUGGAUGGAUUUUAACGCUUUUAUUUCCAAUUCUGAUACUUCGAUUCACAGCAGUUGUUGGGCAAAGUCGAGCUUUCUUCACUGUUAAAGCUGGUGAUGGAGUCACCUUACCCUGUGCAAAUGUGAAGCAAGAGAAACAUAAUUGUGAUAGAAUCACAUGGACGUAUAAUCAGCCAGGAAACAGAAAUGUAUCCUGGUUCAACAGAGGGAAUUUCACAGAGGAAGCCAAAGCUAAAUCAGACAGGAUGAGUGUUACAGCAAACUGUUCUCUGGUCAUAAAGAACGUCACAGCAGAUGAUUUUGGUAAAUACAUCUGCAGAGAGGGCCUAAACCCAGUCCCCAUUGUGGUUGAUCUGACUGUUACCACCAUGACUGAACAAAGGAACAAUGAAACAGUCACCUUUAACUGCUCUGUGACAACAGAUACCAUCUGCAGACACACAGUGGUGUGGGUGUUUGAGGGUAAAGAGCAACUACCCUCAGAAAAGAACGUAUCAGCUUCCUGCUCUGCAGCCAUCACAAUCCCAACAUCUCAUCUUCAUCAGAAUUUGAAGUUUUAUGAGUUAUUAAAGUGUAAAGUUAAAGAGGGUUAUGAUAAAAAAGAUUUGUUGUUCACCUUCAGCCGCCAACAUUCAGGGGAGAAAACAGGUGAGAACACAAAACAGUUUUUUCAACAUCGCCUUGAGGUCAAAAUCUUUCACUUUUUAAGUCUAAAUG